rnacentral:lncRNA from 1 species
GAGUGAUUCUCAUGAGACCAGCACAUACAGGCUCUCGGCAGCCGGUCUGUGCACCUGCAAGCACAGUGUCUCCGCAUCCGAUGCUGAUCAGCAGGCCCUCCGGAACCAAGCGCUGAAUUUAUCACUUGCCUACAGCUUUGUCACGCCUCUCACAUCUAUGGUAGUCACCAAACCCGAUGACCAAGAGCAGUCUCAAGUUGCUGAGAAGCCCAUGGAAGGCGGUGGGUGUGGGGUUGAGAUCUCAGCCUCCCAGGUAGCAGAG